rnacentral:lncRNA from 1 species
UCCCUCUCCUCUCUUUCUCUCUCCCUUUCCCUGCCUUCCCUCUCCUCUCUUUCUCUCUCCCUUUCCCUCCCUUCCCUCUCCCUCUCCUCUCUUUCUCUCUCUCUUUCCCUCCCUUCCCUCUCCCUCUCCUCUCUUUCUCUCUCUCUUUCCCUUGGUUUCCUUUGGUUGCAUUAUAACAGUCAAUCCCUAGCACACCCCAGUGGAUUUACAGUAUGUUUAAUAAGGUGAUCCUGUGUGUUCUAUACUUCCUGCUCUCUGGACCAGGAGGAAGACAUACCCAGUGAAUAAAACCCUACAUCUACGCCCCUGAUAAGUGGUCCUGUCAGUGGAUUUCCUGUAAUGUCCUGUGUCUCUUCAUCCACUGAUAGUGACCAGGCACUCCUGCCUACCCGCUUUAAUUCCAUUAGCCUCUCUCUCCUCAUAGUCUGAUCUACUUUACAGAGACCUGUUUGUGGGAUUUAUUUUGACAAAGAUGUGUUUGUGUCUGUGACAACAGUGAGCAUGGAGCUGUCCCUCCAUCAAAACCAUCUGGACACCCCCUGACUGGAUGGGGAUUUAUACAAACCAUUUAUAUACAUAUAUAUUUAUAUUACAGACUUUGAUUUGUCUUCAUGUAUUUUUUGCCUUUUGUUUUACUUGUGGAUGAUGUGAAACACAAGCAUUAGAUAUUACUGUACUGUUGGAGAUAUAAACACAAGCAUUAUGUAUUACUGUACUGUUGGAGCUAUAAACACAAGCAUUAUAUAUUACUGUACUGUUGGAGCUAGAAACACAAGCAUUAUGUAUUACUGUACUGUUGGAGCUAGAAACACAAGCAUUAUAUAUUACUGUACUGUUGGAGCUAUAAACACAAGCAUUAUGUAUUACUGUACUGUUGGAGCUAUAAACACAAGCAUUAUAUAUUACUGUACUGUUGGAGCUAGAAACACAAGCAUUAUAUAUUACUGUACUGUUGGAGCUAGAAACACAAGCAUUAUAUAUUACUGUACUGUUGGAGCUAUAAACACAAGCAUUAGGUAUUACUGUACUGUUGGAGCUAGAAACACAAGCAUUAGGUAUUACUGUACUGUUGGAGCUAUAAACACAAGCAUUAUAUAUUACUGUACUGUUGGAGCUAUAAACACAAGCAUUAUAUAUUACUGUACUGUUGGAGCUAUAAACACAAGCAUUAGAUAUUACUGUACUGUUGGAGCUAUAAACACAAGCAUUAAGUAUUACUGUACUGUUGGAGCUAUAAACACAAGCAUUAUAUAUUACUGUACUGUUGGAGCUAUAAACACAAGCAUUAAGUAUUACUGUACUGUUGGAGCUAUAAACACAAGCAUUAUAUAUUACUGUACUGUUGGAGCUAUAAACACAAGCAUUAUAUAUUACUGUACUGUUGGAGCUAUAAACACAAGCAUUAUAUAUUACUGUACUGUUGGAGCUAGGACCAGCUUGCUUAGGGGAUAUUUUAGCAGUUCUGCAUUUUAUGAGUUCUGCAUGCAGUCUCUCUCUGUGUCUCACUCUCUCUCUCUCUCUCUCAAACUCACACUGUUCCUCCCUCUCUUUCCAUCUCUCUCUCCCUCGCUCUCUCCAUCUCUCCCCCGCCCCACCACGUUAAGCUCAGGAAGGGUGAUUGGUCUAAAUUGGAUCUAAUGUUUCUGUACCUGGCAGCAGAGAUGCCAGAGCCUGCUGCCCCAUUGUCAUCCAAUUACACACACACACGCACGCACGCACGCACGCACGCACGCACGCACG